GACGAACGCUGGCGGCGUGCCUAAUACAUGCAAGUAGAACGCUGAAGGAGGAGCUUGCUUCUCUGGAUGAGUUGCGAACGGGUGAGUAACGCGUAGGUAACCUGCCUGGUAGCGGGGGAUAACUAUUGGAAACGAUAGCUAAUACCGCAUAAUAGUAGAUGUUGCAUGACAUUUGCUUAAAAGGUGCAAUUGCAUCACUACCAGAUGGACCUGCGUUGUAUUAGCUAGUUGGUGGGGUAACGGCUCACCAAGGCGACGAUACAUAGCCGACCUGAGAGGGUGAUCGGCCACACUGGGACUGAGACACGGCCCAGACUCCUACGGGAGGCAGCAGUAGGGAAUCUUCGGCCAUGGACGGAAGUCUGACCGAGCAACGCCGCGUGAGUGAAGAAGGUUUUCGGAUCGUAAAGCUCUGUUGUAAGAGAAGAACGAGUGUGAGAGUGGAAAGUUCACACUGUGACGGUAUCUUACCAGAAAGGGACGGCUAACUACGUG
rnacentral:rRNA from 1 species